UGGCGAACGGGUGAGUAACACGUGGGUAAUCUGCCCUGCACUCUGGGAUAAGCCUGGGAAACUGGGUCUAAUACUGGAUAUGACCUUUCUCCUUAUGGGGUUUGGUGGAAAGUUUUUCGGUGUAGGAUGAGCCCGCGGCCUAUCAGCUUGUUGGUGGGGUGAUGGCCUACCAGGGCGACGACGGGUAGCCGGCCUGAGAGGGUGAUCGGCCACAUUGGGACUGAGAUACGGCCCAG
rnacentral:rRNA from 1 species